AACCAUGUCACGACGGGCCAGUGGUUCAAAAUAUUUAAUCUGGAUCAAAAUGAUCCGUAUUUGGAAAUCCCAUUUUUUGCUAUCCGUGAUCAGGUAAU